rnacentral:lncRNA from 1 species
CUUCCCUUACUUAGCUUAAUUGAAAUUCAAUAUUUGUCUCCAAAGUAUAUAUCAUGAUUUAAGAACUUCAAUAUGUUACUCUUUUUAAAUGGAUAAUCAUUCGUUUAGGAGUAACAAGAUUACAAAAGUUAAGUUGCUUACCUUUGAUUAACUUUCUCUCUUCUUUUUCAUUCUUCUAUUCCGAACAUCUUCACUGUUCAAUAUCUG